rnacentral:lncRNA from 1 species
GACAGACCGGCUGCUCUGGAGGUGUGGGAUCGGCUAGAUGAAUUUGUGCGGGCACGCUCAUAGGUGAACCCUCGUGUGUAUCUAACCGUGUGAUCUUUUAAGUUGCCCCUUCCAUUUUGUACUUGAUACGGGCAAAACCUUGAAUUCCUGGUGAAUUUAAUAACCAGAUUUUAAGAUUGGCCAUCACGUGUUAUCUUGAAGUUCAACUGUCGUUGCAGUAACCUUAGUGGUACAUGUGUGUUUUUACUGAAAGUUCAAUGUAGUUCUUUGUGUUAUGGACUUAUCAAGCAUUUGACGACCAAGGUAUAGUGCAGGGGUAGUCCUGUAGAUAACUGGGACUAAGGCUGCACUUCAAAUAUGCAUGAUGAUAUCAGAUUGUGCUAUCCAAGUUGAUUUUACAACAAGAGAAGCCACCAUAGUGUGCAACUUCCUUAUUGUCGUGUUUCAGUAAUUCACACUGGUAGUAUUAGUAUUAGUUGUUGGCUUCUUGCUGUUGCUUUAUUACCGUGAGAAGAAUCCAGAAAUGGUAUCAACUACUAGCAUCUUGACAUUGUUAUUUUAAUCAAUUUGGGAUUCACAUG